CGUAACAAGGUUUCCGUAGGUGAACCUGCGGAAGGAUCAUUACCUAGAGUUGUAGGCUUUGCCUGCUAUCUCUUACCCAUGUCUUUUGAGUACCUUCGUUUCCUCGGCGGGUCCGCCCGCCGAUUGGACAAUUUAAACCAUUUGCAGUUGCAAUCAGCGUCUGAAAAAACUUAAUAGUUACAACUUUCAACAACGGAUCUCUUGGUUCUGGCAUCGAUGAAGAACGCAGCGAAAUGCGAUAAGUAGUGUGAAUUGCAGAAUUCAGUGAAUCAUCGAACCUUUGAACGCACAUUGCGCCCCUUGGUAUUCCAUGGGGCAUGCCUGUUCGAGCGUCAUUUGUACCUUCAAGCUCUGCUUGGUGUUGGGUGUUUGUCUCGCCUCUGCGCGCAGACUCGCCUCAAAACAAUUGGCAGCCGGCGUAUUGAUUUCGGAGCGCAGUACAUCUCGCGCUUUGCACUCAUAACGACGACGUCCAAAAGUACAUUUUUACACUCUUGACCUCGGAUCAGGUAGGGAUACCCGCUGAACUUAAGCAUAUCA
rnacentral:rRNA from 1 species